rnacentral:rRNA from 1 species
AUUGAACGCUGGCGGCAGGCUUAACACUUGCAAGUCGAGCGGAGCGAGGGUGCUUGCACCUUAGCUUAGCGGCGGACGGGUGAGUAAUGCUUAGGAAUCUGCCUAUUAGUGGGGGACAACAUUCCGAAAGGGAUGCUAAUACCGCAUACGCCCUACGGGGGAAAGCAGGGGAUCUUCGGACCUUGCGCUAAUAGAUGAGCCUAAGUCGGAUUAGCUAGUUGGUGGGGUAAAGGCCUACCAAGGCGACGAUCCGUAGCGGGUCUGAGAGGAUGAUCCGCCACACUGGGACUGAGACACGGCCCAGACUCCUACGGGAGGCAGCAGUGGGGAAUAUUGGACAAUGGGCGGAAGCCUGAUCCAGCCAUGCCGCGUGUGUGAAGAAGGCCUUUUGGUUGUAAAGCACUUUAAGCGAGGAGGAGGCUACUAGUAUUAAUACUACUGGAUAGUGGACGUUACUCGCAGAAUAAGCACCGGCUAACUCUGUGCCAGCAGCCGCCGUAA